rnacentral:misc_RNA from 1 species
GUUCUCCAGCUCAUUUGUGAACGGGCACAGAGCGUUGCCAUUGCGACAUGGAGCGAAGGCUUCGCCGCGUCUUCGACUGCCUUGUGGUAGCGUGCAUCUCUUGCAUCGGACUCCUGCUUCUGCCGCUGCUGCUGUUGAGCCUGCGAGCGCGCCAGUGGUUCUUUGUGCGAAUCAUGGCCGUGGCUGGCCGGCUGUGGCGAGACUACUUCCAAGACACUCGACGCGAAACGAUCGCGGCGCUGGACGAGAUCGAGUCUAGCGACCCCGAACUGCGCGCCGACGGUGCGAUUCGAGUGCUCGAGGUUGGCGCAGGCUCGGGUGCCAACUUGGGGUUCAUGCGGAGGAAGAUCAAGUACUGGAACGUCGACCCCAACACCGAGUUCCAGAAUUUCUUCCUCGAGACGGUCAAAAAGUAUCCCAAGGUGGAGAUGGAACGCUGGGUCGUCGGCUACGGCGAGGACAUGCACGACGUUCCCGACCAGCACUUCGACGCGGUGAUCGUGACGCACCUGCUCUGCUCUGUCCACUGCGCCGAGAAGGUGCUGCGAGAGUGCCGACGAGUACUGGUCAAGGGUGGUAGGCUGGUGUUCAUGGAGCACGUGGCCCAGCCCAAGGGAAGCGUGGGCAGGAUAUUGCAGAACGUGCUGACCCCCCUGUGGUGUAUCAUCUGCUGCGGCUGCUGCCUGAACCGAGACUCGGGAAACGUCAUCAAGAAGGCCGGCUUCGCCGAGGUGCACUUGAACGAGACAAAUGUCGACAUGCCCGUCAUCUUGACACGACAUGUGUACGGUUACGCUGUGGCCUAGAAGCGGCCCACGGCGGCCUAUGACGUCCAAAGACUGUGCGUUUCAGUGCUGCAGUAUUACAUGGCAUCGUCUUUGCC